GUGAGGGUGCCAGAGACAUACGGGAGCAGAAGCCAGAAAGAGCAUCUUCCAACCCACGCCAGCCUGGAGAAGCUGUGGCAGAGCAAUCCUACCCCGAUAACAAACCCCAAGACCUAACCCUCAGUGCAGCCUUGCCGGGAGCGGAGGACUCGUAUGUCACCGCCCGGAGGAGCGGAGCGGAGCGAUUGGCCGGGUGAAUUAUCUGCCUUGUUGCAGUGAAUUAUUUGCGCUGUUUCCUUUCCCAGUCAACAAGUUUCUGAGGUAUGGCGCAGAUCAAUCAAAGCUGACAGAGCGCAUGUGAAGCUUUUACUGUGUAAAUCUGGACCUCUUGUCCCGGCUUCGUUGGCACUGGCAUCUGUAUAUCAUUUUUAUACUGCUACCAGUAGAGCAAUUUCAAAAGUAUUUGCAAGGAAAAUGGAUGUCCCCAUCUGUUCCUGGAAUCAUAAAUGUGCCACUUUCGGAGGGUUUUCACUGGUAAUCAUAUCUUUAAUGAUGAACAAACUUGUGAUAUAUACCUUUCCAUAAAAUGGGGUUUUCUUCACUUUAUUGUGAUUGGCUGGGAUAAAUAGCUUUUCCAUAUGUUAGGAAGAUAAAACAUAAGAUUACCAGACCUCGUUUCUUUGAUCAUAAACAAAAGAAACAAUUCGCUCCAAACACUCUUUAAACAGAAACAACUGCAGAAUUAAAUUGUAUUAAUAAGCUAUCGAUGGGCCAGGAGGUAAACAACAGUCUCCACAGAAAACACAGCUGGUUUAAAAUACGAGCAGUCGGUCCUUCUCGCUAUUUGGGUGACCUUAACGCAGAUGUAGAUUUUAAAUACUCGAUGCUAAUUUAAAUUUUGAUUUUCUAAGAUUUGUCUUGUCUUUAUCUCUCUUUUUUUUUUUUUCUCUAGCUUGACUUUGAAUUUCUUUAAGUGCCAGAGCGAGGAUACGGUGCUGGGUAAUGCAUUGCCAUGCACUAUAUUUAGAAAGCAGCUGGAAGAGAAGAUGUCCUCAGGAAUCCGGACUGUUUUGUUGUACUUGUCCCUCCCGUCCCGGCCCUGUAACGCAAACGCUCCUUCUGCAGAGGGCACACCGCAGCACGAUGAAGCCAACCCCCCCUGCAGAGGAGCAGGCCCCAAGCUGCUGGCGCCGGCCCGAGGCUUCUAAUGUGAGGAAAAACACGCGGUGACAAGUGUGGAAAAGAGCAAGCACUAAAUUACUGUCAGAAAAAUAAACGGCGGAGCGCCGCGCGGGGCGGUGAUUUA
rnacentral:lncRNA from 1 species